rnacentral:rRNA from 1 species
UCGGGAAGGAAGUUCCGUCGGUGAACCUGCGGAGUGGGAACUUAUUCGGAGGAGGAGCCUCGGCGUCAGGCCGGCCUCUUCACUGAGGCCCCCUGGAAACAGGGAGCAGCCCGCCGGCGGCCAACUAAACUCUUGUUUCUAUAGUGAAUCUCUGAGUAAAAAACAUAAAUGAAUCAAAACUUUCAACAACGGAUCUCUUGGUUCUGGCAUCGAUGAAGAACGCAGCGAAAUGCGAUAAGUAAUGUGAAUUGCAGAAUUCAGUGAAUCAUCGAAUCUUUGAACGCACAUUGCGCCCUCUGGUAUUCCGGAGGGCAUGCCUGUUCGAGCGUCAUUUCAACCCUCAAGCCUGGCUUGGUGAUGGGGCACUGCCUGUAAAAGGGCAGGCCCUGAAAUUCAGUGGCGAGCUCGCCAGGACCCCGAGCGUAGUAGUUAUAUCUCGCUUUGGAAGGCCCUGGCGGUGCCCUGCCGUUAAACCCCCAACUUCUGAAAAUUUGACCUCGGAUCAGGUAGGAAUACCCGCUGAACUUAAGCAUAUCAAUAAAGCGGAGGA